UACGUAGGGGGCAAGCGUCGUCCGGAUUUAUUGGGCGUAAAGAGCGUGUAGGCGGCCGCACAGGUCCGUUGUGAAAACUGGAGGCUUAACCUUCAGACGUCGAUGGAAACCGUGCGGCUAGAGUCCGGAAGAGGAGAAUGGAAUUCCUGGUGUAGCGGUGAAAUGCGCAGAUAUCAGGAAGAACACCCGUGGCUAAGGCGGUUCUCUAGUACGGUACUGACGCUGAGACGCGAAAGCGUGGGGAGCGAACAGG
rnacentral:rRNA from 1 species